CCGAGAGAUCGGCGUUCCCCUUCGGGGGACAGGGUGACAGGUGGUGCAUGGUUGUCGUCAGCUCGUGUCGUGAGAUGUUGGGUUAAGUCCCGCAACGAGCGCAACCCUCGACCUUAGUUGCCAGCAUUCAGUUGGGCACUCUAAGGUGACUGCCGGCUAAAAGUCGGAGGAAGGUGGGGAUGACGUCAAAUCAUCAUGCCCCUUAUGACCUGGGCUACACACGUGCUACAAUGGGCGGUACAAAGGGUCGCGAACCCGCGAGGGGGAGCCAAUCCCAAAAAGCCGCUCUCAGUUCGGAUUGCAGUCUGCAACUCGACUGCAUGAAGUCGGAAUCGCUAGUAAUCGCGAAUCAGCAGGUCCGCGGUCGAAUACGUUCCCGGGCCUU
rnacentral:rRNA from 1 species